CCCGAAUCAGCCCAGAAUGAGCCAGCUGACACCUCUGAUGACUCAGUUUCUCUCCACGUUGAAGGUGCGGUUCAUGAGCGCUGGAGCGCGUCACUAAGCCCCGCCCCCCCCGCUCGCUAUGACUCCGUCAAACCGUCAGAGCAACAUCACCAUGGAGACCGAACUGUCGCUAGCUUAAUGAAUGUGGUGUUGUCUGAGGGGAGGAAACCAAGUAACAACUCAACAGAGAAACAGACAUGAGUUUCUAAAACGUUUCGGCGGAGGACACGUUUAAGAUGAUAAGAUGAUAAGAUAAAACGAAAAGACAGAAGCGAAAGCUAAAGCUAAUAGCAUCAAAGUCAAUCAAACACAGCAUAGCAUAGAAGUGCUACCGCCAGGUGAUAAAGCGCUAACACUAGUUUAAUGGUCUGCUAGUGUUUUCUCCACACUUUUUUUCUUUGCAACGGAACCUUUUUUCUAAGUCUGAAACGUCAGCUCGAAGGUCUUCAGAAAAGCACACGGUGGGACAGGAGGACAAGACACUCCACUCCAACUACCGAAACUAACGGGAAAAAGAGGACCAGUGAAAUGGUUUCAAAUCAGAGACACUGACAGUAACUCAAAUGACAAAUUAUUCACCGUCGUCUUCUGCUUGAUGUAUCCGACUGUGAGUCUUAAAUUAUUCCAACAGCUGAACUUUUCCUUAUUAACCGUGUGUGUGCGUGCGUGUCUGCGUGCAUGUGUGUGUGCGUGUGUGUGCGUCUGCGUGCAUGUGUGUGUGUGUGUGUGUGUGUGUGUGUGUGUGUGUGUGUGACAGUUGCAGACUGUUCCUCUCUUCCAGCUGACUGGGAAGCUGCAGAGGGCGAGAGCUGCAUGUAAAAAGGUCCAAUAAUAUGAGGCGUAGUCGCCUCAUUACCGGCCGCUUCAUUUCCUCUCUCUGUCUCGUCGGGGCCCACUCAGGUAGAAAGGCCGUGCUUUCAUAAAGAGAGUGUCUCAGUGGGGCGUUUUGAAUAUAUUAAUAUAUUAAUGCUUGUGUCAGGGACACCCGGUGUCAUGAUGGAGCUUUAGAUAUCGAUGGCUUCAUGUGAACGUGUGGAAAUGGUGCGUGGACGUCUCAAACUUCCUUCCCGGUUCAGGUUCAUCUCGGUAAUAUUGUUAAAAUGUAUGUAUUUUUGGGCUGUUUGUGUCGUAUUACGUCAGAAAAGUGGUUGCAACUGUGAGCAAAGAAUUGGGAGCCAUUUACCCAGAAGGCUUUUCAACAGCGAGCGAUUUUUAAAAACACUUCUAAUAAGAAGUCGUUGUUGUGCAGAAAGGCUCCAGCUGACUGGAAGGUGAUGGAGGUUUUAUGCAUCAGUGUUGAAUUAGCAUUGGAGACGGGGUGUCGUUUCAACUACUUUAGAGUUCAAACUGUUCAUUCCAAAGGUCUGAAAUAAACUCAUCGGGGGCUAAAGAUCAACCGGAGAGGAAAGAACACAAAAAGAAAAAGCUUUGCCAGGAAAAAAUAACUUUUUUAUUGGGUCCGUGUCAAGAGCAGAUGAGAGAGCGCUUCAGAAAAACAGAAGGAAACGCAAAUAAAAGACAAUCAAACCGCGGACGUGAAGUGCAGAUUCAGAGCUGAGAACAUAGAAGUCGCUAUCCAUCAUCUUUAUCCCAAUAUCAAGAUAUAUAUCCGCAUUCUGUUUUUCUAAAUAUGGGAUCAUUUGAUGUCAGUGGGACAAAUAAUUUGAAUAAAAGUUUAUUUUGGUUUUCGGCUUUUGUAAAAUAUUGUUAAGUGGCUCAUCACGUUUUUUUUAUUUAUUUAACAGAAAAUACAUUUUGAAGGAAAAAUAAUGCCGUGCAGGCUACAUUCUAAUAUAAUGAAACGCAUCCAAUGAGUACCUGAGUGCGGUACUUAUGUAUUUAUGUAUUUAAGUACGCACAAACUUUCCUGCUUCUCUGGUGUCCUUGAACACAAGACACAAGACGACCACGAGUCUCUUUGUGAUAUUUAACAGUGCUGACCUUUCAAGAGGAAAGGUAAAGUACAUCAUGUAUACAAACAAGCACUCCUCAGGGCGUCCUUCACCUUUGACCUCUGCACCUCUCACAGUUUGAUUUGAGGCUGAACCAUUUCCUGUUUCGAGAGGCGCCAGAAAGGAAAAAAAAAGUGGCGGUUCCUUUUCCCACAGAGAGACGACUCGCAGCGUUUCCUACAGAGUAUUGAGUGUAGAACUCGGUCAGGGGGUUCUGUUCAAAGGUCAGGCGCCUUGCUCAAAGGCAGCAGGGAGCAGGAAGAUGACAGGAGGCCAAACGUCUCAUCGGCGCAGACGUUUCAGGUGGUCGGGACAACAGGAUGUCUUCCCGGGCAGCAAACAGGGGCGUCUCCGACAAGUUCUUCUCGACAUCUGACGUCUCUCGGACUGUAACUGCAGACGAGGACGUGACCUCAAACGACCCGUAGGGGUUAAAAGGAGAUAAGAAACGAAUCCACAAAGGUUUCUGCGACGCCAGGGCGGUUAACAAAGCUCCAGCGUGUUCACGAACCCUCACUUGUUGAGCCUAAAGGACUUUGGACUCAACCUCAAUGUUUCACACUGGAAUAUAAUAAUGGCGUUAAAACAAACCGCUCCAACGGCCUCCGGGCGACAUGGGAGCCAGACGUCUGGACAAAUGUUUUACAGAGCUCUCCGGAUUCACCGCCUCACUGUAGACCAACCGGAACAAGAGAAACCAAACAAACCCAGAGAGAGAGAGAGAGGGAGAGGGGGGGAGAGAGGGAGGGAGGUGAAUGGAGUCCCGACUCGCUGUGUGAGUCUGCAGCAUCACACAUGGAGGACACAUGAUCGCACAUCGCAGCUUUUAUUGGGCACAACCAAAAGGCUGUGAGAGGGACCCUCUGCUCCCCCCCCCCCCCUCGCUCCCCCAGCGCCGCCCUGACACCAAGCCGCCGCCUCAUCCUGCUGCAGCAUUCAUUAAAUGACCCGAUAAGUCCGGGGGGGGGGGGGCGACCAGCCGAGUUGUUGGCGUCGGCCUCGUGGAGCUGAGCUGCCGGCAGAUAAGGAAAAGCUAAUUAACGGGCACAUCUGUGCGCCUCAUGGCCGCGUCGGAGAGGACCCAGGCGACGGGGUCGGUUGGAGGCAAUGCGAAAGGGAGAAGAGGGGGGGGGGGGGGGGGGCGGUGAAGACGGACAUAAAGGCAGACGAAGAGACAAGGUCUGUUAGUUUAUCAACAUCCUGUUCGUCCCUCUGGACCCCUCGGACCUCCAACAUCUGGCCCCCGGAGGCCCACAUCUGGUCCUCCUCGCGGCCGCAGGUCCCGACCAACAAGUCGCUGCUUCGACUGGCGGAGAAUCACAUGGCGCCCAAAUGAAAACAGG
ensembl:lncRNA